rnacentral:rRNA from 1 species
GACGAACGCUGGCGGCGCGCCUAACACAUGCAAGUCGAACGGAGCGCGGCGGAAGAUCCCUUCGGGGUGAUUUUGCCGUUUGCUUAGUGGCGAACGGGUGAGUAACACGUGAAUAACCUACCCUUGAGUGGGGGACAACAUUUGGAAACAGAUGCUAAUACCGCAUAAGACCACGGAACCGCAUGGUUCUGAGGCCAAAGGAGCAAUUCGCUCAAGGAUGGAUUCGCGCCCGAUUAGCUAGUUGGUGAGGUAACGGCCCACCAAGGCAACGAUCGGUAGCCGGACUGAGAGGUUGAACGGCCACAUUGGGACUGAGACACGGCCCAGACUCCUACGGGAGGCAGCAGUGGGGAAUAUUGGGCAAUGGGGGAAACCCUGACCCAGCGACGCCGCGUGAGGGAAGAAGGUUUUCGGAUUGUAAACCUCUGUCUUCGGGGACGAAAAAAUGACGGUACCCGAGGAGGAAGCCACGGCUAACUACGUGCCAGCCGCCGCCGUAAAAC